UGUUGAUCAUUUUCUUUUUAUUUAUUUCUAGUUUGCUGAAAACUUCCUUAACUGUGAAAGUUUCAAGUUCACAUGGUCCCGGAGGGAUAUUGACCUAGUGCGAAGGUCUCUAGGUCAAUAUAUAUUGUCCUUAGCAGUGGCUAACCCAACAAAGCCAGAAGAAGAAAUUUGGUCCGAUAUUGUUGCCUGUGGAGAACAAGACAUUGAAAUAUGCAUCAUUGAUGAAGAGCAGAACAAAUAUGUUACAGCAGGAAGUCAGACUUUGUCAAAUGCAUCUCGUUCGGACGCUGGAAAUAUGAGCAAUGGUGAAGCCUUUGAUGAAGACAAAACAGAAAUUUGCAACCUAAAUGAACAGACA